GAGGUGGUGCAUGGCCGUCGUCAGUUCGUACUGUGAAGCAUCCUGUUAAGUCAGGCAACGAGCGAGACCCACGCCCACAGUUGCCAGCGUACUCUCUGGAGUGACGGGUACACUGUGGGGACCGCCGCUGCUAAAGCGGAGGAAGGAAUGGGCAACGGUAGGUCAGUAUGCCCCGAAUAUCCCGGGCUACACGCGAGCUACAAUGGUUGGUACAAUGGGUAUCUACCCCGAAAGGGGACGGGAAUCUCCUAAAACCAAUCUUAGUUCGGAUUGAGGGCUGCAACUCGCCCUCAUGAAGCUGGAAUCCGUAGUAAUCGCGUUUCAACAGAACGCGGUGAAUACGUCCCUGCUCCUU
rnacentral:rRNA from 1 species